rnacentral:rRNA from 1 species
GAUGAACGCUGGCGGCGUGCCUAAUACAUGCAAGUCGAGCGAACGGACGAGAAGCUUGCUUUUUUGCUGUUAGCGGCUGACGGGUGAGUAACACGUGGAUAACCUACCUCUUAGUCUUGGAUAACUUCGUGAAACCGGUGCUAAUACCGGCUAAUAUUUUGAACCGCAUGGUUCAAAAGUUCAUGACGGUCUUGCUGUCACUUAUAGAUGGUUCCGCGCUGCAUUAGCUAGUUGGUAAGGUAACGGCUUACCAAGGCAACGAUGCAUAGCCGACCUGAGAGGGUGAUCGGCCACACUGGAACUGAGACACGGUCCAGACUCCUACGGGAGGCAGCAGUAGGGAAUAUUCCGCAAUGGGCGAAAGCCUGACGGAGCAACGCCGCGUGAGUGAUGAAGGUCUUCGGAUCGUAAAACUCUGUUAUUAGGGAAGAAAAUAUGUGUAAGUAACUGUGCACAUCUUGACGGUACCUAAUCAGAAAGCCACGGCUAACUACGUG